CAGAAAUGAAACUUCUGCUGACACACUAAAGAGUUGGGUUUUUUUAGGCAAUAAUUCUUUGAAACCUUUUUAAAGUAUAGUAAUCGAAAUACUAAUGAGUUUCAGCAGAAAUCUUUAGCUAAAUAGUUUCCCUUCUCUCAUUUUAAAGUGAAGCCUGCUUUAAUAUUAAACCUGCCUGGGUUUGUACAUUGUUAAAAAAUAUAGGGGGCACUGAACAUUUUAUGCUGACUUAGUCGAGGGUGUCACUUUAUUUUUCUAAUGAAUUUACAUUAUUACGAAAGAAGUAAACAAAGUGGUCGGGGUGGCAAAAGAGAAGCAUUGCUGGCCAGCUCCGUGUUUCUCUGCCUGCCGGAGCUGCGGGUGCAGGCUUGUGUUCGUGCGGCUCCCAGCGCAAGGGGGCUCCGGUCAUCACCAUCAGCAGUUCUGGGGACACCGGGUGGGACCCUCUUCUGACAUGUGAUCUGCCCUGAGCUACUUUGACUCCUACGAUGACAAUGUUAUCACUGCCACAUCUCUGGGAACCAGUUAUUCACAAGUACACGGUAUGUGAACGUCUGCAUCUUACAUUAACUGUUGCUUGUUGGAACAACACAGAAACAAUAACAAGAAGGUGCUAAAAGUCAUUGAAGUAAAUGUUAAGCCACAUGUACAACCAGUUACAGGGAGCUGUUCCAGCAGAUGUUUAUCUGCUAGGCCUGGCCUGUAUGCAGAACAGUAAACUGUUUUAACUUGAACAUGCAUUUAUUCCCAGAUAUUGGUAGAAGCAUUCUACCAAUGCUUCCUUUGGACGAGAUUAUACUGGUACAGUGAUGACAUGUAGAUCUACAGAUGAUUAUUCUCUGUAGAAGGAGGGAGUGGUAGCAGUAGCGUGGAGGGUUCUGUACUUUAACUGUAUUGCUG
rnacentral:lncRNA from 12 species